UACAGAGGUCCCAAGCGUUGUUCGGAUUCACUGGGCGUAAAGGGUGCGUAGGUGGUGAGGUAAGUCGGAUGUGAAAUCUCCGGGCUCAACCCGGAAAUGGCAUUGGAAACUACCUUGCUGGAGGUUUGAGGGGGAUUGGAAUACUUGGUGUAGCAGUGAAAUGCGUAGAUAUCAAGUGGAACACCAGUGGCGAAGGCGAAUCCCUGGAAAAUACCUGACACUGAGGCACGAAAGCUAGGGAGCAAACAGG
rnacentral:rRNA from 1 species